UACCAGCACCCCGAGUGGUCGGGACGUUUAUUGGGCCUAAAGCAUCCGUAGCCGGUUCUACAAGUCUUCCGUUAAAUCCACCUGCUUAACAGAUGGGCUGCGGAAGAUACUAUAGAGCUAGGAGGCGGGAGAGGCAAGCGGUACUCGAUGGGUAGGGGUAAAAUCCGUUGAUCCAUUGAAGACCACCAGUGGCGAAGGCG
rnacentral:rRNA from 2 species